UACGUAGGGGGCGAGCGUUGUCCGGAGUUACUGGGCGUACAGCGCUUGUAGGCGGUCCACCAAGUUUGGGGUGACAGUUGCCGACUUAAUCGGCAAAGUGCCUCAAAGACUGGCGGACUUGAGGGCCACAGAGGGACAUGGAACUCCAGGUGUAGUGGUGAAAUGCGUAGAUAUCUGGAAGAACACCAAAGGCGAAGGCAGUGUCCUGGGUGGUCGCUGACGCUGAGAGGCGAAAGCCAGGGGAGCGAACGGG
rnacentral:rRNA from 1 species